rnacentral:tRNA from 1 species
UAUUUUUAAUUGACAUAGACCAAGUCAUUUGGUAGAAUGAGGAUGAUG